rnacentral:piRNA from 2 species
GACGAGGUGGCCGAGUGGUUAAGGCUAUGGAU